GCGCCGGUGGUGUAAAGGCGUAGACCAUUCCCGCCCGGUCAGAGGGAGGUGCGGGUUCGAGUCCCGCCUGGCGCU
rfam:Heligmosomoides polygyrus genome assembly, scaffold: HPBE_scaffold0005698